GGGAUGGGCCCCGGGGUGCAGGGGAAGGAGUGUGAGGGACAGCCAGGCAGAAGAGAAGGGGACAACAAUUAAUCAAUGAAUAUUUUAUACAAAUAUGGAUAUAAAAUAAUGAUUUUCCCCAUUCUGUUGCUUUGUGGUCAGAUGCAGUGUCCUUCCUCACUGAUGGAGAUGGCCAGUGGCACCUGCAAAGUUCCUCUCCUGGCCAAAAUCACCAGCUGCAGAAUUCAACACUGCUGGUCAAUGGAUUUACUUGGGAAUUAGGUCUUCUGGAAAAGAGAAAGAUUUCUGCUUGAGCACUACGCCGGAGCCCAGGUAUUUACAGAGACGUUAACCGCUGAUGCAGCACUGAUCUCCACGGCUCUUCCACCAGGUGAGCCCCAAAGCAGCAGGAACAAUUUGGGGAGAGACUGAGCAACUUCAGUCAAGCCCAAAGCAGGAUGGUAAUGCAGCCUGAAGCUUUGCGUUGGACACUUGGGAACCCAAAUAUGAUGGAGAAGCAGCCAGGCAGUGUUCUGGAGGAUCUCAAGCAGCUGCAUAUUCAAGGAGACGCUGUUCUGCAAGAAGGGAAAGUAUGAAAGAUACGACGCAAGACCUGGAAUCAGGAAUGUGGAGUUCCAGUUCCAGCGAUUCAUUAGGAAACCCUCAGAGAACGACGUAGCUAUUCCUUUUUUCAGCACUGCCAAAAAUGCUCUGCAGCAAGGUCCAAGGGUGCCAAGCAUCUGUACACUGGAUUCAAGAUCUGAUACUUCUGCACAAGAUCCAUCAAUAUCCAUCUUUCCUAAACAUGCACAUUCCAAAUUUUUGUUUUAUCUAACAAACCAAAAGUCCUUAUGAAGAAUAUAUGAACCAUACAAUUACUACCACCAAACAAUUACUACGUACAGAAAUUAAUUCCAAAAGGCAAACAAUAAAAUAUAGAAAGAAUCAGCAGUGGGAGCCUUAAACAAAGUAAUUGCCACCUGUGAUUGCUGUGCUGAAGAUUGCCGUCCAUCAAGAAGGACUUGAAAAGUAUUCUGAAAAGACAAGCCCAGGAAUAAAAAUGGCAGGACAGAAAAAACACAGAUAUAAUGGAGACAUUUGUUUUACCAUACAUUGACAUUUUCCAUGCACAUACUACUCAAUGGCCCAAAGGAAACGAGUAACUGCUGUUCUCUGUUCUGUAUAAGCCCUGUAUUCCUUCUCCCCUUGCAAGUUUUCUUCGCUGUUGCAGAUUCCAGGUACCCUUUCUUCCCUCAAAUUGUUUAACUGAUUUACCCAGCAAAGUUAAAUUCACAGCAAUUUCUUCCUGUCUAUCCUUAGCACAGUUUGCUCUCUGCAUGCCAGGUCUGAAGAGUUUAUAUCUGUCACAGUCUGGGUAAAACUAUUGCGUCUCUUUGCAAGCAUCCCUUUCUUAAAAAUUUAGGGCACUUGGAAGUAGUUAAAAAUGUAGGUACAGACGAUUAGCACAAAUAUUUCAGAAUUAAUACAUUGUCACAGCCAGUCCUGACCUUGGAUUGUUACAUGCUGCUCCAUCCCCAGACAAAGUAUGAGUUCCUUUGCUGAUCUGUGUGAGCCCUGUUCCACCCAACCCACUGGAGUGAGCCUGCCAUCGGGUCUCUCCCACUGCUAAACCCAAAGGCUGGUGGCUGUGAAGCACCUGCAGAUCUGGCUGCUGCUUUGUAUUUGACACCCGGGGCUGGAUUUGAAAGUCUGGGCCUAUUUCUUAUUACCAGUUCUCAGAAGAAUCCAUUCUACUGCUUUCUCUGCAGCCACUCAAGUAUUUUGUUUAAUUAGUGGAAAAUGAAAGCGGGAUUCAAGACUGUGGUUGUGUUUGCUUUCAUGUAAUAAAAUAACUUAGUGCAAUGGAUUUAAA